GGCUGGGCCACUCUGCCUUGCCUCUUAGGGAUAGCCACCGAGAGAACCGCCAUCCACCAAGAGCGUGCACACUCUGCGGGGGCCCAGUGCCCACCAUCUUCCCUGCCCAGACACCAUAGAGACUCAGCCCUGGGCCAUCACUGUCCCCAUGGAAGUCAUGGAAUCUGUGGGCAGGGCAGGGGACCUCUGGCUCAGAACUUCAGCCUUGCUCCAUCAGGGAUAUGUAAGGGGCCAGAGAAGGAGAUGCACCACCUCCGAGACACAGGAUACCCCUCCUCUGCCUAGAAGAUGCUAUUCCUGCCCUCAGAGGCUUUACUUUCCCUGGGAAGGUGAGCUAGAGGAAGAGACAGCUCCAAAGGCCCAAGCAGAGGCUGAACUGACCGAGGAAAGGGAAUUGACACAGCUUGUUUCCUGUCCUCAAAGUUACUGUGAAAUCCUCAUGAAUGACUGACAGCAAAAUGGGAGGCAGCUGCCGCAAGGGGAAUUCCAGAGCAUGCUGAAGCGGGGUACAAACAUUCCAAUUCAUGCUGGACUAGAAGUAUUUUCGCCAUCAUGGCUGCCUUCUUCAGAUUACCUUCUGCUCUAUUUCCCAAUUUCAGUGUGGCUCACGGAGCUGAGAACAAUACUGUAGUUCCAGCCUGUGGUCUGACCAGUACAAAAGGAAGGGGGAAGAGUUCCUCUUUCUUCUUGCCUAAGUCUUUUUGCCUUAUAAAAGAAUCUCUGACUCUCUAGCUGACUGAUACCUGAAGUUCUACUAUUAGGGAUUCAUUCCUUUCGUGCUCCACCUUGCUGCUCUCAAAAUAAAAU
rnacentral:lncRNA from 1 species